GCCCCUGUAGCCCAACUGGUAGAGGCAGGCCCCUUAAAAGGGUUUCAGUAGCGGUUCGACUCCCGCUCAGGGGCA
rnacentral:tRNA from 1 species